UACGGGGGGGGCAAGCGUUGUUCGGAAUUACUGGGCGUAAAGGGCUCGUAGGUGGCCAACUAAGUCAGACGUGAAAUCCCUCAGCUUAACUGGGGAACUGCGUCUGAUACUGGAUGGCUUGAGUUUGGGAGAGGGAUGCGGAAUUCCAGGUGUAGCGGUGGAAUGCGUAGAGAUCCGGAAGAACACCGGUGGCGAAGGCGGACUGCUGGGCAGUUUUGCUGACACUGAGGCGCGACAGCGUGGGGAGCAAACAGG
rnacentral:rRNA from 1 species